rnacentral:sRNA from 1 species
AUACAAGGGAUGAUAAUCACUCCGAUCUCUCACUUACAUAUGCUUGGCUUAACAAAUGUAGUACGUACAAAUGUCCUCACAAAGUAUAAAGACCCAUUUGCAGUGUCCCGUCAUGAGCUUUUAAUCAUCGGACCUUGCAGCUUUGACGUUUAGCCAUGAGAAGGUCCCUCGAAGAGAAACCGACCACCUCCUUAAAGAUCCCUGCGCUGCAGUAUUCAAUUUGGGUGGCAUUCGUUUAGCGCAUUGGUAAGUUUCGUAAGUAGUCAAUUCACUUCUUUAGCAACCUUCUUGAGGAUGCUUGGAACUUAUGAUAAAUAAUGCCAUACAUAAUUUCUACCCAUGGCGCAUUUCCCCGAAGUUUAAUGUGGCACUUCUCAAAAGACAGGCCAAAUACGGUUGGAUGCAGUACACGACGCAAGAGGAUUACCGAAGCAGAAUUCGGUAAGCGUUGGAUUGUUCACCCCUUAAUAGGGAACGUGAGCAUUUCAUGUUGGUGCCCUUUAUCGACGCACUAGGCCUUCCCAGUACACCAAUCCCAUCGAAGAUAAGUUCACCGGUAUUCAAUCAUUGCAAAAAGAUUUUCAAUUCGGAUCAAUCUAACCCCCCCCCGUUUCAGUUACCGAGCUAACGUGCCCAUCCAAAAGCGGGCUACUGUCCAUGGGAGGGUAGACUCUCAACAUUUUACAUUGAUCCAUCGGACAGGCUGUGUGUAUUAUCUUUGUACUGGAAUGAGCAACUUGUCAAAAGUAUACGAUUUCAGACUGUGGAUCCUUUUACUACUGCUGGAUGAUAUGGGCCGGAUCUGUAUGGUAAUUUUGAUAUCGAACGACCGCUAGAGGGGAGUAUAGAACAAGUGACGGCGUUGAGAACAAUUAGUGACCUUACACAUCAAACAGUUUUCCCAACUGACGAGAAAGGUCAAGGCCAAGAUUGAGUGCGCAGCCUACUGCGGAUGAACACGAGGAAGUGGUAAUAAAUCGAGUUUGAAAACGACGCGGUCAGUAGCGGACUUGAAGCAUACCUAGACAGAUUAGUGGUGUUGGUAGUAAAACUACAAGGGACGAGAGACGCCAAAUGGUCCAGGCCGAAAAAGAGGCGGAUGGGAG